CCCACAGGGGCCCUUGUCGGGCUACAGCCAUUGCUGGGUUAAGCCAAGGGAAGGGCUUGGGCUUUAUUUCCGGUAGCACGUUACAAGUUGUAGGAGGCAGGAAGGGAUGGGGAGGGGGCAGACAAAAGCCCUGCUUUCUCAUGUCCCCCUUCUUCCAGACUCACUCUUUGCAAAGCAGCUGUUGACCACCUGGAAUCCUGGCAUAGGGCCCAGUGCUGUGGGUAAUGCAAAGUGGACAGGCAGGGCACUGUCAUCAAGGGGACUGUGUUCUACUGACGAAGACAAAACUUCCACAGUCCAACACAACAACAACUAACAAGGGAACAGCAUGCAACUGACAACACAACCAGAGCGGUGAUGCCAGGAAGGAACAGCACGAACGUUUCCAGUGCGUCUGAAUUUUAGCCCUGCCCUGCACUAGCAGCAGUGUGGUCUUGGGAGCCGACUUGAAGGAGCUCCCAAUGGCCAGAAAUGAGAUCGUUUGAGCCAAACAAGAUUGAGUCAAUAGAUUAUAACUUGCAGACCAGAGAUUAAAAAAAGAAGUAAUGAGUCUACACUGAUCACUGACAUAGCUCUUCACACGGGCAUCUUCUCAGCAUGGAGGAUUCAGCCUCGUCAGAGAAAUCUUACCUGACCUGCCAGCUAAAGUGAUCCUGCUCUUCACCUGACAUUCUUUGGUGUUGGUCUGUGAGGACUGCUGUAAGGAAGGACCACCAACCAUGUGGCUUAACAACGACAGAACUGGAGGCUGGAAGUCCAGGUGAAGAUGUUGAAGGCUGGUUCCCCUGGACAGUUGGAGGAAGUCUGUUCUUGCCCCUCUCCAAGUUUUUGGUGGUUGCGGGCAAUCUUUGGGGUUCCCUAGCUUAUAGAUGCAUCACUGAGGUCUCUGUAUUCAUUUUUACGUGGCUUUUUCCCCUGCGUGUUCAUCUCUGAAUUUCCCUUUUAUAUGGACACCAGUCAUGUUGAAUUAGACCCACCCUAAUGACUGCAUUCUAACUCGAUGACCCCUGCAAAGACCCUAUCUUCAAGCAAGGUCACAUGCCGAGGCACUAGGGGUUAGGACUCUAACAUACGAGUUUGGGGGAAAUACAGUUCAACCAUAACAGUUCCAUUGCUUUGUUUUAUUUAUUUAGAGCUUUUGUGACCACUGUAAAUUAUCUCAUUUGUUU